rnacentral:rRNA from 1 species
GAUGAACGCUGGCGGCGUGCCUAAUACAUGCAAGUCGAGCGAACGGACGAGAAGCUUGCUUCUCUGAUGUUAGCGGCGGACGGGUGAGUAACACGUGGAUAACCUACCUAUAAGACUGGGAUAACUUCGGAAAACCGGAGCUAAUACCGGAUAAUAUUUUGAACCGCAUGGUUCAAAAGUGAAAGACGGUCUUGCUGUCACUUAUAGAUGGAUCCGCGCUGCAUUAGCUAGUUGGUAAGGUAACGGCUUACCAAGGCAGCGAUGCAUAGCCGACCUGAGAGGGUGAUCGGCAACACUGGAACUGAGACACGGUCCAGACUCCUACGGGAGGCAGCAGUAGGGAAUCUUCCGCAAUGGGCGAAAGCCUGACGGAGCAACGCCGCGUGAGUGAUGAAGGUCUUCGGAUCGUAAAACUCUGUUAUUAGGGAAGAACAUAUGUGUAAGUAACUGUGCACAUCUUGACGGUACCUAAUCAGAAAGCCACGGCUAACUACGUG